rnacentral:tRNA from 3 species
GGCGACGUAGCCAAGCGGUAAGGCACGGGUCUGCAACACCCUCAUCACCGGUCCGAUUCCGGUCGUCGCCUC